GCCCCGCAAGGCGCCCCGUGGGGAAGGCCUCCCAAGGAGGACACUGGGAGAGGAGCUCUCUGAACCCAGCAAAACUUCCGUUGGCCUCCCUCACAGAUUGUCAGGAGCUGGAUCUGAGGAGCUCAGCCUCAGCCUCUUCCUCCCCACACCUGCCAGCCCACUUGCCCACCCCGGCUGGGCAUACACGGCCAGGCCCAUGGCACACUCCUCAGCCCUGGGACCAGCAGCAGUGAGAGCCUUCUUCAUCUGUACCAGCGUCUGUGGCUACUUGGCACCCUUCCAUCCAGCUGCCCACCAGAAUCACGGGAAUGGCCUUCUACCAGCGUGACAGGAAAUCUCUCUUAGAGUCUUGCUGUCUAGUCCCUCCAUGGGCCUGACCUGGCAGGGCCAGGAGAUGAGCAGGCCACCAGUCACAGAACUUGUGUCCCAAGAGCCAGAGAACCCUCUCCUGUCUAUAGCUCCGGCUCUCGCCUCUCCUCAGUCAGGCUUCUCAAGACUUGUCCACAUAGACGACCCUCAAAAAAUGCUAUGCUGAGGGCAAGAAGCCUUAUCCAGAAGAGCACGUUUCUAUGAAGCCCUAGAAGAAGCACAACCCCUCUAUGGUGGAGAAAAGUCAGAACAGCUGUUGUCUCUGGAGGAGGGGUGAGAAGACCAGAAGGGGGCCUGAAGGAACUUUCUAGGGUGACAAGGAUGUCCACCUUGAGAGAGGGGUUUGGUGGACACAGCGGCUUAAUUUUGCCAAAGCUCACAGAAUGCUACACUUGAGCUCUCUCUACCUGUCAUCAUAGGUACAUUUUACCUAAAAAUAAAACCACAUGCUUCAGACAAA